rnacentral:rRNA from 1 species
UGCCGCUUGCGAGGGCGUAUGGUGGAUGCCUUGGCAGACAGUACCGAUGAAGGACGUUUGAGGAUGCGAUAAUCCUAGGGGAGCCUCCAACAUGGCUUUGAUCCUAGGGUCUCCGAAUGGGGGAACCCGCCGGCCGUCAUGGGCCGGCACCGCCUAUGGGCGGGGGGUACGCAGGGAAGUGAAACAUCUCAGUACCUGCAGGAAGGGAUACUCCGUGAGUAGUGGCGAGCGAAAGCGGAUCAGACCAAACCGGUUGCGCGUGAUACCCGUCGGGGGUUGCGUUGCCGGUGUCGUGGGAUCACGUGUCCCGGUUCCGACGGGCCGGGCGGGAGUCAUAAAACGGCUUGCCAGGGGAACAGGCUUGAAGGCCUGGCCGUAGAGGGUGCCAGCCCCGUACCUGGACGUGAGCCGUCUUCCGAUCGUGUUGUCCCAAGUAGCGCGGGCCUCGUGGAAUCCCGCGUGAAUCAGCCCAGACCGUUGGGUAAGUCUAAGCAUACCUGUCUGACCGAUAGCGUACCAGUACCGUGAGGGAAAGGUGAAAAGCACCCCGGGAGGGGAGUGAAACAGUUCCUGAAACCGUGCGCCCACAAACCGUCGGAGCCUCCUUGUGGGGUGACGGCGUGCCUAUCGAAAAAUGAGUCUGCGAGUCAGUGGCGGGUGGCGAGCAUAAGCCGUGUGGCGUAUGCGUAGCGAAAGCGAGUCUUAAAAGGCGUUUGUAGUCGCUUGUCCUGGACCCGAAGCGGGAUGAUCUAGCCCUGGGCAGGUUGAAGCGCGGGUAAGACCGCGUGGAGGACCGAACCCACCUGGGUUGAAAACCGGGGGGAUGACCUGGGGCUAGGGGUGAAAGGCCAAUCAAAUUCCGUGAUAGCUGGUUCUCUCCGAAAUGCAUUUAGGUGCAGCGUCGGUCGAUUGCGUCGCGGGGGUAGAGCUACCGGAUGCUUGCGGGCCCUUGUUGGGUACCAACAGCAGCCGAACUCCGAAUACCGUUGACGUGUAUUCCGGCAGUGAGUCGGCGGGGGAUAAGCUCCGUCGUCGAGAGGGAGACAGCCCAGACCGUCGUCUAAGGUCCCGAAGCGUGUGCUAAGUGGGAAAGGAUGUGGAGUCGCAUAGACAGCCAGGAGGUUGGCUCAGAAGCAGCCAUCCUUGAAAGAGUGCGUAACAGCUCACUGGUCUAGUGGUUCCGCGCCGACAAUGUAGCGGGGCUCAAGCACACCACCGAAGACGCGGCAGCAAUCUUCAUGGUUGCUGGGUAGGAGAGCGUCCUGCGAGGGGCGAAGCGGCCGGGUAACCGUGCCGUGGACUUCGUGGGAGUGAGAAUGCAGACAUGAGUAGCGAGAGACGGGUGAGGAUCCCGUCCGCUGGAUGACCAAGGGUUCCGGGGCCACGUUCGUCGUCCCCGGGUGAGUCGGGUCCUAAGGCGAGGCCGACAGGCGUAGUCGAAUGGAUGAACGGGUGGAUAUUCCCGUACCGACCAUGGACCGGCAAAACCGAGACGGUGAGUACUAACCUCCGCCUCGUGGUGGUUCCUUCCUUCGGGUUGGUAUCGCCGCGUGGCGUUGGGAGCGUAGCCGCAGUAGGUCAGCGCAGGGGUGACACGGAAUGGGAGCCGGCCGCGGAGGUGGUUUUCCGUGGUCAAGCACGCAGCCAGUCAUGUAGGCAAAUCCGCAUGGCGUGCAUGGCGAGGUGUGAUGAUGGGAGCCGUUAUGGCUCGAUAUCCGGUUGUCCAGGCCGUCGAGAAAAGCCUCGGCGUGAGGGCCAUGGCCGCCCGUACCCCAAACCGACACUGGUGGUCAGGUAGAGAAUACCAAGGCGAUCGAGCGAAUCCUGGUCAAGGAACUCGGCAAAUCACUCCCGUGCCUUCGGUAUAAGGGAGACCCACUGGGGUGAAGGACCUUGCGUCCGGAGCUUUGGUGGGUGGCACAGACCAGGGGGUAGCGACUGUUUACCAAAAACACAGGUGCAUGCGAAGGCGAAAGCCGCUGUAUAUGCACUGACGCCUGCCCGGUGCCGGAAGGUUAAGAGGAUCCGUCAAUCCCUUCGGGAUGAAGCGGUGAAUUCAAGCCCCGGUAAACGGCGGUGGUAACUAUAACCAUCCUAAGGUAGCGAAAUUCCUUGUCGGGUAAGUUCCGACCUGCACGAAUGGCGUAACGA